AUUGAACGCUGGCGGCAGGCUUAACACAUGCAAGUCGAGCGGGGGAGGUUGCUUCGGUAACUGACCUAGCGGCGGACGGGUGAGUAAUGCUUAGGAAUCUGCCUAUUAGUGGGGGACAACAUUCCGAAAGGAAUGCUAAUACCGCAUACGCCCUACGGGGGAAAGCAGGGGAUCUUCGGACCUUGCGCUAAUAGAUGAGCCUAAGUCGGAUUAGCUAGUUGGUGGAGUAGAGGCCUACCAAGGCGACGAUCUGUAGCGGGUCUGAGAGGAUGAUCCGCCACACUGGGACUGAGACACGGCCCAGACUCCUACGGGAGGCAGCAGUGGGGAAUAUUGGACAAUGGGCGGAAGCCUGAUCCAGCCAUGCCGCGUGUGUGAAGAAGGCCUUUUGGUUGUAAAGCACUUUAAGCGAGGAGGAGGCUCUUAAGGUUAAUACCCUUGAUGAGUGGACGUUACUCGCAGAAUAAGCACCGGCUAACUCUGUGCCAGCCGCCGCUGUAAGAC
rnacentral:rRNA from 1 species